GAUGAACGCUAGCGGCAGGCUUAACACAUGCAAGUCGAGGGGCAACACGGGUAGCAAUACCUGGUGGCGACCGGCGCAAGGGUGCGUAACACGUGAGCAACAUGCCCUAUACAGGGGGAUAAUCCAGGGAAACUUGGUCUAAUAUCCCAUAGUAUUUAGAGGUGGCAUCACCACUAAAUUAAAGCUUCGGUGGUAUAGGAUUGGCUCGCGUGACAUUAGCUGGAUGGUGGGGUAACGGCUCACCAUGGCGAUGAUGUCUAGGGGUUCUGAGAGGAAGACCCCCCACACUGGGACUGAGACACGGCCCAGACUCCUACGGGAGGCAGCAGUGAGGAAUAUUGGACAAUGGAUGGAAAUCUGAUCCAGCCAUGCCGCGUGCAGGAAGACGGCCCUAUGGGUUGUAAACUGCUUUUAUAUGGGAGCAAUAGGUUUACGCGUAGACCGAUGAGAGUACCAUAUGAAUAAGCAUCGGCUAACU
rnacentral:rRNA from 1 species